GAUGAACGCUGGCGGCGUGCCUAACACAUGCAAGUCGAGCGAAGCGGGGACGGGUGAGUAACACGUGGAUAACCUCCUAUAAGACUGGGAUACUUUCGGGAAACCUGAGUUAAACCGAUUACUUACAGAUGGAUCCUCGCUGCAUUUGCUAGUUGGUAAGGUACGGGCUUACAAAGGCAACGAUGCAUAGCCGACCGUAGAGGGUGAGCGGCCACACUGGAACUGAGACACGGUCCAGACUCCUACGGGAGGCAGCAGUAGGGAAUCUUCCACAAUGGGCGAAAGCCUGACGGAGCAACGCCGCGUGAGUGAAGAAGGGCUUCGGAUUGUAAAGUACGGUUAUUCGGGAAGCGGUACCUAAUCAGAAAGCCACGGCUAACUACGUGCCAGCAGCCGCGGUAAUAC
rnacentral:rRNA from 1 species